rnacentral:rRNA from 1 species
UACGUAGGUGGCGAGCGUUGUCCGGAUUUACUGGGCGUAAAGGGCGUGCAGGCGGUUUGUUAAGUGCAGGGUGAAAGCUCCCGGCUCAACUGGGAGAGGUCCUUGCAUACUGGCGAACUCGAGGGAGGCAGAGGAAAGUGGAAUUCCCGGUGUAGUGGUGAUAUGCGUAAAUAUCGGGAGGAACACCCGUGGCGAAGGCGGCUCUCUGGAACGCAACUGACGCUGAGACGCGAAAGCGUGGGGAGCAAACAGG